rnacentral:rRNA from 1 species
GGUAAAUCCGGUUCACUUUAACACUGAGGCGUGACGACGAGGCACUACGGUGCUGAAGCAACAAAUGCCCUGCUUCCAGGAAAAGCCUCUAAGCAUCAGGUAACAUCAAAUCGUACCCCAAACCGACACAGGUGGUCAGGUAGAGAAUACCAAGGCGCUUGAGAGAACUCGGGUGAAGGAACUAGGCAAAAUGGUGCCGUAACUUCGGGAGAAGGCACGCUGACACGUAGGUGAAGUGAUUUACUCAUGGAGCUGAAGUCAGUCGAAGAUACCAGCUGGCUGCAACUGUUUAUUAAAAACACAGCACUGUGCAAACACGAAAGUGGACGUAUACGGUGUGACGCCUGCCCGGUGCCGGAAGGUUAAUUGAUGGGGUCAGCGCAAGCGAAGCUCCUGAUCGAAGCCCCGGUAAACGGCGGCCGUAACUAUAACGGUCCUAAGGUAGCGAAAUUCCUUGUCGGGUAAGUUCCGACCUGCACGAAUGGCGUAAUGAUGGCCAGGCUGUCUCCACCCGAGACUCAGUGAAAUUGAACUCGCUGUGAAGAUGCAGUGUACCCGCGGCAAGACGGAAAGACCCCGUGAACCUUUACUAUAGCUUGACACUGAACAUUGAGCCUUGAUGUGUAGGAUAGGUGGGAGGCUUUGAAGUGUGGACGCCAGUCUGCAUGGAGCCGACCUUGAAAUACCACCCUUUAAUGUUUGAUGUUCUAACGUGGACCCGUUACCCGGGUUGCGGACAGUGUCUGGUGGGUAGUUUGACUGGGGCGGUCUCCUCCUAAAGAGUAACGGAGGAGCACGAAGGUUGGCUAAUCCUGGUCGGACAUCAGGAGGUUAGUGCAAUGGCAUAAGCCAGCUUGACUGCGAGCGUGACGGCGCGAGCAGGUGCGAAAGCAGGUCAUAGUGAUCCGGUGGUUCUGAAUGGAAGGGCCAUCGCUCAACGGAUAAAAGGUACUCCGGGGAUAACAGGCUGAUACCGCCCAAGAGUUCAUAUCGACGGCGGUGUUUGGCACCUCGAUGUCGGCUCAUCACAUCCUGGGGCUGAAGUAGGUCCCAAGGGUAUGGCUGUUCGCCAUUUAAAGUGGUACGCGAGCUGGGUUUAGAACGUCGUGAGACAGUUCGGUCCCUAUCUGCCGUGGGCGCUGGAGAACUGAGGGGGGCUGCUCCUAGUACGAGAGGACCGGAGUGGACGCAUCACUGGUGUUCGGGUUGUCAUGCCAAUGGCACUGCCCGGUAGCUAAAUGCGGAAGAGAUAAGUGCUGAAAGCAUCUAAGCACGAAACUUGCCCCGAGAUGAGUUCUCC